rnacentral:rRNA from 1 species
GCACCCGGAAUGAACUAAGCCAUGCGAGUCAUUGUAGCAAUACAAGGCAGACGGCUCAGUAACGCGUAGUCAAUCUACCCUAUGGACGGGAAUAACCUCGGGAAACUGAGAAUAAUGCCCGAUAGAACAUUAUACCUGGAACGGUUUAUGUUUCAAAUGAUUUAUCGCCGUAGGAUGGGACUGCGGCCUAUCAGUUUGUUGGUGAGGUAAUGGCCCACCAAGACUAUUACAGGUACGGGCUCUGAGAGGAGUAGCCCGGAGAUGGGUACUGAGACACGGACCCAGGCCCUAUGGGGCGCAGCAGGCGAGAAAACUUUGCAAUGUGCGAAAGCACGACAAGGUUAAUCCGAGUGGUUUCUGCUAAAGAAACCUUUUGCUAGUCCUAGAAACACUAGUGAAUAAGGGGUGGGCAAGUUCUGGUGUCAGCCGCCGCGGUAAAACCAGCACCUCAAGUGGUCAGGAUGAUUAUUGGGCCUAAAGCAUCCGUAGCUCGUUUUGUAAGUUUUCGGUUAAAUCCAUACGCUUAACGUAUGGGCUGCCGGGAAUACUGCAUAACUAGGAAGUGGGAGAGGUAGACGGUACUCGGUAGGAAGGGGUAAAAUCCUUUGAUCUAUUGAUGACCACCUGUGGCGAAGGCGGUCUACCAGAACACGUUCGACGGUGAGGGAUGAAAGCUGGGGGAGCAAACCGGAUUAGAUACCCGGGUAGUCCCAGCUGUAAACUAUGCAAACUCAGUGAUGCAUUGGCUUGUGGCCAAUGCAGUGCUGCAGGGAAGCCGUUAAGUUUGCCGCCUGGGAAGUACGUACGCAAGUAUGAAACUUAAAGGAAUUGGCGGGGGAGCACCACAAAGGGGUGAAGCCUGCGGUUCAAUUGGAGUCAACGCCGGG